CCUACGGGAGGCAGCAGUGGGGAAUAUUGCACAAUGGGGGAAACCCUGAUGCAGCGACGCCGCGUGAGUGAAGAAGUAAUUCGUUAUGUAAAGCUCUAUCAGCAGGGAAGAAAAUGACGGUACCUGAGUCAGAAGCCCCGGCUAACUACGUGCCAGCAGCCGCGGUAAUACGUAGGGGGCAAGCGUUAUCCGGAUUUACUGGGUGUAAAGGGAGCGUAGACGGCAGUGCAAGUCUGGAGUGAAAGGCGGGGGCUCAACCCCCGGACUGCUCUGGAAACUGUACGGCUGGAGUGCAGGAGAGGUAAGUGGAAUUCCUAGUGUAGCGGUGAAAUGCGUAGAUAUUAGGAGGAACACCAGUGGCGAAGGCGGCUUACUGGACUGUAACUGAUGUUGAGGCUCGAAAGCGUGGGGAGCAAACAGGAUUAGAUACCCCUGUAGUC
rnacentral:rRNA from 1 species